GUCAAAUAGCUCAGUUGGUUAGAGCAUGGCGCUGAUAACACCAAGGUUGCAGGUUUGAUCCCCAUAUGGGACA